UCAAGUUAGAAAGGGCAUACGGUGGAUGCCUUGGUGCCAGGAGGCGAAGAAGGGCGUGGCCAACUGCGAUAAGCUUCGGGUAGCUGUAAGCAAGCUGUGAUCCGGAGAUUCCCGAAUGGGGCAACCCACUGGAGUGAACCUCCAGUAUCCCGUAAGGGAGGCUAACCGGGGGAACUGAACCAUCUAAGUACCCCGAGGAAAAGAAAGAAAUUCGAUUCCCUAAGUAGCGGCGAGCGAAAGGGGAACAGCCUAAACCUCAAGAGCGUGAUAACCCCUAGGUGUUGCUCUUGGGGGGUAGAGGGAAGAGAGAGGUUCUACUAGGGUAGAACCAGAGAGUUACCAAACCAAGUCUUAGCUGAACAGGUCUGGAAAGCCUGGCCAGAGAAGGUGAUAGCCCGGUAAGCGAAAAGAUUUGGUCUCUCCUCUCUUUCCCGAGUACCACGGUCCACGAGGAAUUCCGUGGGAAUCUAGGAGGACCAUCUCCUAAGGCUAAAUACUACCUGGCAACCGAUAGUGAACCAGUACCGUGAGGGAAAGGUGAAAAGAACCCCGGGAGGGGAGUGAAAUAGAACCUGAAACCGUAUGUCUACAAUACGUGGAAGAGCUAUGGAGAAGACCUAGUCUCCUCCAGCUCGACUGCGUGCCUUUUGGAGAAUGAGCCGGCGAGUUACGGUGGCUGGCCAGGUUAAGUGCUUGAGGCACGGAGCCGUAGGGAAACCGAGUCCGAAUAGGGCGAUUAGUCAGUCAUCGUAGACCCGAAGCCAGGUGAUCUACCCAUGGCCAGGGUGAAGUGGGGAUAAAACCCCAUGGAGGCCCGAACUGAUGUAGGUUUAAAACUGCUCGGAUGAGCUGUGGGUAGGGGUGAAAGGCCAAUCAAACCUGGAGAUAGCUGGUUCUCCCCGAAAUAGCUUUAGGGCUAGCCUCCGGUAGGAGGAGAGGGGGUAGAGCACUGAAUGGGCUAGGGGGCUAACCCGCCUACCAAACCCAACCAAACUCCGAAUACCUCUCCUUAAUGCCGGGGAGUCAGACUGCGGGGGAUAAGCCUCGUGGUCAAAAGGGAAACAGCCCAGACCGUCAGCUAAGGCCCCCAAACGUGGGCUAAGUGGUAAAGGUGGUGACCUUGCUGGAACAGCCAGGAGGUUGGCUUAGAAGCAGCCAUCCUUUAAAAAGUGCGUAAUAGCUUACUGGUCUAGCGAUGUUGCGCCGAAAAAUUUUCGGGGCUUAAGUCCACUGCCGAAGCUGCGGAUUCUAGAAUUUAGUUUCUAUCUUCUAGGAUGGUAGGGGAGCGUUGGGUAAGCCGUUGAAGCGGGACAGUGAUGACCCGUGGAGGUAUCCCAAGUGAGAAUGCCGGCAUGAGUAGCGAUAAAGAGGGUGAGAAUCCCUCUCGCCGUAAGCCUAAGGUUUCCUGAGGAAGGCUCGUCCUCUCAGGGUUAGUCGGAUCCUAAGCCGAGGCGGAAACGCGUAGGUGAUGGGCAGCUGGUUGAUAUUCCAGCACUAUCAGUUUUCUGUUAUUCCGAUGGGGUGACGCAGGAGGGUAGGCCAUCCGCCUGGAGGAAUAGGCGGUCUAAGCCCGUAGGUGGAGAGAAGGUAAUCCUUUCUCUCAUUAACACCGAGAGGUGAUGGGGAGCUCCUACGGGAGCGAACUGGUUGAUCCCCCACUGCCUAGAAAAGCCUCUAAGGAGGAAGACUGGUAUCCGUACCGCAAACCGACACAGGUAGGCAGGAUGAAUAUUCUAAGGCGCGCGAGUGAUCCCCCGUUAAGGAACUAGGCAAUUUAACCCUGUAACUUCGGAAGAAGGGGUGCCUUUCUCCGUAAAUAGAUUUCUCUAGGAGCGGAGAGAGGUCGCAGAGAAAUGGCUCUAGCGACUGUUUAUUAAAAACACAGGACUCUGCUAAGCCGUAAGGCGAUGUAUAGGGUCUGACGCCUGCCCAGUGCUGGAAGGUUAAGGGGAGGGGUUAGCGAAAGCGAAGCUCCGAACUGAAGCCCCAGUAAACGGCGGCCGUAACUAUAACGGUCCUAAGGUAGCGAAAUUCCUUGUCGGGUAAGUUCCGACCCGCAUGAAAGGCGCAACGACUGGAGCGCUGUCUCAACGGGGAGCUCGGCGAAGUUUCAAUACCAGUGCAGAUGCUGGUUACCCGCGACUAGACGGGAAGACCCCGUGAACCUUUACUGUAUCCUGAUAUUGGAUCCGGGUACAUCUUGUGUAGGAUAGGUGGGAGGCAGAGAAGUCACCGCGCCAGCGGUGAUGGAGCCAACCUUGAAAUACCACCCUUGAUGUAUUCAGAUUCUAACCUGCAGAAGUUAUCCUUCUGAGGAACAGUGUCAGGGGGGCAGUUUGACUGGGGCGGUCGCCUCCUAAACAGUAACGGAGGCGCCCUAAGGUUCCCUCAGCACGUUUGGAAAUCGUGCGUGGAGUGUAAAGGCAUAAGGGAGCUUGACUGCGAGAGGGACACCUCAAGCAGAGACGAAAGUCGGGCUUAGUGAUCCGGUGGUGCAGUAUGGAAUGGCCAUCGCUCAACGGAUAAAAGGUACUCUGGGGAUAACAGGCUGGUCUCUCCCAAGAGUCCAUAUCGACGGAGAGGCUCGGCACCUCGAUGUCGGCUCGUCGCAUCCUGGGGCUGAAGUAGGUCCCAAGGGUUG
rnacentral:rRNA from 1 species